rnacentral:rRNA from 1 species
GGGUUGUGAGGUUAAGCGAACAAGCGUACACGGUGGAUGCCCUGGCAGUCAGAGGCGAUGAAGGACGUGCUAAUCUGCGAAAAGCGCCGGUAAGGUGAUAUGAACCGUUAUAACCGGCGAUGUCCGAAUGGGGAAACCCGGUGCACUUCGGUGCAUCAUCGUUAGCUGAAUACAUAGGCUAACGAGGCGAACCGGGGGAACUGAAACAUCUAAGUACCCCGAGGAAAAGAAAUCAACCGAGAUUCCCCCAGUAGCGGCGAGCGAACGGGGAAGAGCCCAGAGCCUGAAUCAGCUUGUGUGUCAGUGGAACGGUCUGGAAAGGCCGGCGAUACAGGGUGACAGCCCCGUACACGAAGGCACACAGGCUGUGAGCUCGAUGAGUAGGGCGGGACACGUGAUAUCCUGUCUGAAGAUGGGGGGACCAUCCUCCAAGGCUAAAUACUCCUGACUGACCGAUAGUGAACCAGUACCGUGAGGGAAAGGCGAAAAGAACCCCGGCGAGGGGAGUGAAACAGAACCUGAAACCGUGUACGUACAAGCAGUGGGAGCCUUCGUAAGAGGGUGACUGCGUACCUUUUGUAUAAUGGGUCAGCGACUUAUAUUCUGUAGCAAGGUUAACCGUAUAGGGGAGCCGAAGGGAAACCGAGUCUUAAUUGGGCGUUAAGUUGCAGGGUAUAGACCCGAAACCCGGUGAUCUAGCCAUGGGCAGGUUGAAGGUUGGGUAACACUAACUGGAGGACCGAACCGACUAAUGUUGAAAAAUUAGCGGAUGACCUGUGGCUGGGGGUGAAAGGCCAAUCAAACCGGGAGAUAGCUGGUUCUCCCCGAAAGCUAUUUAGGUAGCGCCUCGUGAACUCAUCUCCGGGGGUAGAGCACUGUUUCGGCUAGGGGGCCAUCCCGGCUUACCAACCCGAUGCAAACUGCGAAUACCGGAGAAUGUUAUCACGGGAGACACACGGCGGGUGCUAACGUCCGUCGUGAAGAGGGAAACAACCCAGACCGCCAGCUAAGGUCCCAAAGUCAUGGUUAAGUGGGAAACGAUGUGGGAAGGCCCAGACAGCCAGGAUGUUGGCUUAGAAGCAGCCAUCAUUUAAAGAAAGCGUAAUAGCUCACUGGUCGAGUCGGCCUGCGCGGAAGAUGUAACGGGGCUAAACCAUGCACCGAAGCUGCGGCAGCGACACUAUGUGUUGUUGGGUAGGGGAGCGUUCUGUAAGCCUGUGAAGGUGUGCUGUGAGGCAUGCUGGAGGUAUCAGAAGUGCGAAUGCUGACAUAAGUAACGAUAAAGCGGGUGAAAAGCCCGCUCGCCGGAAGACCAAGGGUUCCUGUCCAACGUUAAUCGGGGCAGGGUGAGUCGACCCCUAAGGCGAGGCCGAAAGGCGUAGUCGAUGGGAAACAGGUUAAUAUUCCUGUACUUGGUGUUACUGCGAAGGGGGGACGGAGAAGGCUAUGUCGGCCGGGCGACGGUUGUCCCGGUUUAAGCGUGUAGGCUGACUUUCCAGGCAAAUCCGGAAGGUUAAGGCUGAGGCGUGAUGACGAGGCACCACGGUGCUGAAGUGACAAAUGCCCUGCUUCCAGGAAAAGCCUCUAAGCAUCAGGUAACAUCAAAUCGUACCCCAAACCGACACAGGUGGUCAGGUAGAGAAUACCAAGGCGCUUGAGAGAACUCGGGUGAAGGAACUAGGCAAAAUGGUGCCGUAACUUCGGGAGAAGGCACGCUGACAUGUAGGUGAAGCCCCUGCGGGUGGAGCUGAAGUCAGUCGAAGAUACCAGCUGGCUGCAACUGUUUAUUAAAAACACAGCACUGUGCAAACACGAAAGUGGACGUAUACGGUGUGACGCCUGCCCGGUGCCGGAAGGUUAAUUGAUGGGGUUAUCGCAAGAGAAGCUCCUGAUCGAAGCCCCGGUAAACGGCGGCCGUAACUAUAACGGUCCUAAGGUAGCGAAAUUCCUUGUCGGGUAAGUUCCGACCUGCACGAAUGGCGUAAUGAUGGCCAGGCUGUCUCCACCCGAGACUCAGUGAAAUUGAACUCGCUGUGAAGAUGCAGUGUACCCGCGGCAAGACGGAAAGACCCCGUGAACCUUUACUACAGCUUGACACUGAACAUUGAGCCUUGAUGUGUAGGAUAGGUGGGAGGCUUUGAAGCGUGGACGCCAGUCUGCGUGGAGCCGACCUUGAAAUACCACCCUUUAAUGUUUGAUGUUCUAACCUGGCGCCGUGAUCCGGCGUGGGGACAGUGUCUGGUGGGUAGUUUGACUGGGGCGGUCUCCUCCCAAAGUGUAACGGAGGAGCACGAAGGUCAGCUAAUCCUGGUCGGACAUCAGGAGGUUAGUGCAAUGGCAUAAGCUGGCUUGACUGCGAGAGUGACGGCUCGAGCAGGUGCGAAAGCAGGUCAUAGUGAUCCGGUGGUUCUGUAUGGAAGGGCCAUCGCUCAACGGAUAAAAGGUACUCCGGGGAUAACAGGCUGAUACCGCCCAAGAGUUCAUAUCGACGGCGGUGUUUGGCACCUCGAUGUCGGCUCAUCACAUCCUGGGGCUGAAGUAGGUCCCAAGGGUAUGGCUGUUCGCCAUUUAAAGUGGUACGCGAGCUGGGUUUAGAACGUCGUGAGACAGUUCGGUCCCUAUCUGCCGUGGGCGCUGGAGAAUUGAGGGGGGCUGCUCCCAGUACGAGAGGACCGGAGUGGACGCAUCACUGGUGUUCGGGUUGUCAUGCCAAUGGCACUGCCCGGUAGCUAAAUGCGGAAGAGAUAAGUGCUGAAAGCAUCUAAGCACGAAACUUGCCCCGAGAUGAGUUCUCCCUGAGACUGUAAGUCUCCUGAAGGAACGUUGAAGACGACGACGUUGAUAGGCCGGGUGUGUAAGCGCAGCGAUGCGUUGAGCUAACCGGUACUAAUGAACCGUGAGGCUUAACCUUACAACGCCAAAGAAGU